AAGGUUCUCUAGAUUGCCCAGUCUUCAAAUGCUGAUGCACAGCCGCUCGUCUUCGAGCUCUCGUCAAUCAGGUCGAUGUGGUGAUAUCACACAGCCGCAGGUUGUGCAGGGUUGUUACUGAGCACACCUGCUUUCACAGCGGACACCCACAAAGGAUGAUGGCAUGCUCAUCAGCUGGAGAUGAAGCAGAAGAAUCACAGCCCUUCCCACCGGUGGGCAGCAGGGAGAGCGGGUGUGGUCAGGUUUUCUUAUGACAAUGUGACAUAUGCAAAUGCAAGUGAUUUAAUACAAAUGAACUUGAACAUCAGAACACUCACUCACCCCCCACCCCCAAUUUGCACAGCAGUCAUACAAAAACAAGUCUAUUAAACACUCAUGCACAAAAGUUCAUGUACAUGUGCACAGAGCAAAGGUUAAGUUUGUUUAAAUUAUAUGUACACACACACACACACAGAGCUACACACAGGAAAUGUUGUUUCCUGAAAUGUUGGUGUGUAAUCUUUUGUAAACAACACACAAACCUUUCUUCCAUUCAGCAUCAGUGGUGAAUGUAGAUGUCAUGCCCGCAAGUCAUAUUGUUGACAAAUAAUGGAUCAGUGAUUCAGGCUUAAGUCCAUUCUUUUUGUUUUCUUUAAGUAACCUUCAAAUCAUAUUUAUGGGUCAUUUAAUUACCAGACACAUGAACAUGUUAAUGUUUUAUCAUUGGAUAUACAUUAGGCUCUUUUCAAAUUCUCAGCAAGAACUCUUCCAUUCAUAAAGCAAUCUCUCAUGAUCGUGGAACUUGUUUUAAAGGAAUAGUUCAACAUUUUUAGGAAAUAAGACUAUUUGCUUUCCUGCCAAGAGGUGAAAAGUUUGAUGUCACUGUCUGGUAGAUAUACAGCUAAAGCCAAUCUCUGGUUAGCUCAAGAUAGAGAUGGAUGAACAGUACCUCUCUAAACCAACAGCAGUCAUCUAAAAUGUACAAUUGAAAAGGAAGAAUGAGACAUAGCACAAAAAGCAGAUGUGAAAAAGUCUGAGUCACGGACAUCAUCGUGUGUUGACUGAAACUACUCAAAAUAAGAACAGAAAAAGAAAAAGCUAAGAUGGAAAGAAGGAGGAAAGUUGGUUAAGGACAUUAAAAAACCCAGCUCUGUCCCUGACAAUUAAACUGACAGGGCGCAGGAGCAACAACAUGGAAUUAAAAUUAAAGAGGAGUAAGAAUGUUGAUAAGCGCUAAUUUGAUUCCCUGGGAUCUGGGAGGAAGGGUUGAAAAGACAGCCGACAAGGGUGGGCCAAAAAGAGGCACUCAAGGGAUUAUGACUCUUGCUACCAGGUGAAGCACACUCCACACAUAAAACUAACAUUUUUCCAAAACUGUGUGGCUCUGUCAGGAGUGUUUUUAUCAUUAAAACCUGGUUAUUUUAUAUAUGAAGCUUAAGUCUUUCCUUUAACCUCCAGAUAUUAACUGCAGGACUGUGGGACCCCUUUUCAGUGUAUACUAAAAGAGAAAUGAUACAAUAAAUAUUUUUUUUCAACCUGA